GAUGAACGCUGGCGGCGUGCCUAAUACAUGCAAGUCGAGCGAAUGGAUUAAGAGCUUGCUCUUAUGAAGUUAGCGGCGGACGGGUGAGUAACACGUGAGUAACCUGCCCAUAAGACUGGGAUAACUCCGGGAAACCGGGGCUAAUACCGGAUACCAUUUUGAACCGCAUGGUUCGAAAUUGAAAGGCGGCUUCGGCUGUCACUUAUGGAUGGACCCGCGUCGCAUUAGGUAGUUGGUGAGGUAACGGCUCACCAAGGCAACGAUGCGUAGCCGACCUGAGAGGGUGAUCGGCCACACUGGGACUGAGACACGGCCCAGACUCCUACGGGAGGCAGCAGUAGGGAAUCUUCCGCAAUGGACGAAAGUCUGACGGAGCAACGCCGCGUGAGUGAUGAAGGCUUUCGGGUCGUAAAACUCUGUUGUUAGGGAAGAACAAGUGCUAGUUGAAUAAGCUGGCACCUUGACGGUACCUAACCAGAAAGCCACGGCUAACUACGUGCCAGCCGUCGCGUAA
rnacentral:rRNA from 1 species